GGGCACAGGCCCGGGUUGCGGGCUCCAUCCCCAGUGUGGGGCGUGCAGGAGGCAGCCGAUCCAUGAUGCUCUCUCACCAUUGCUGCAUGGGUCUCUCUCCCUCCCUCUCCCUUCCUCUCCCUGAAAUGAAUACAAAUCUAUUCUUAAAAAACGAGACAGUCAGCAAACGGAGGCAGGUCGAACCCAGGGCCCAAGGGGCCAGAUGAGGUUUAGGGACACGAAGCAACUGGCGGGAACCAAACCCCAACACUGGCUCGGCCGCGGCUUUGGCAGAAACCUCCCUGGAAAAAACAACAAGAGAGCGCGGCCGCGUGCCUCCCCUCGGAGCCAGAGAAAAUAUCUGGAAGUCGUUUCCGAUCUGUCCCGUGAAACAAAGAGGCGUUUUUCUUUUUUAAAAAAAAACAAAAAACCCCAAAAAACCCAGAGGCUUGGACCAGGUGCUGGCUGGCAGGAGGGGCGGGGAUUAAGGCGUCGGUGAGCAGAACACAGUGAGAGGUGCCGUGUCCAUCACGCUGG